CACGAAGGUGGCAAGCGUUACUCGGAAUUACUAGGCGUAAAGGGCAGGUAGGUGGUUUGGUAAGUCUAUUGUGAAAGCUCCCGGCUUAACUGGGAGAGGUCAAUGGAUACUGCCGGACUUGAGUAUAGGAGAGGUUACUGGAAUUCCCGGUGUAGCGGUGAAAUGCGCAGAGAUCGGGAGGAACACCAAUGGCGAAAGCAGGUAACUGGACUAUUACUGACACUCAGCUGCGAAAGCUAGGGGAGCAAACAGG
rnacentral:rRNA from 1 species